rnacentral:rRNA from 1 species
AUUGAACGCUGGCGGCAUGCCUAACACAUGCAAGUCGAACGGCAGCAUAAGUGAGGGUAACCUUACUUGAUGGCGAGUGGCGGACGGGUGAGUAAUAUGUAGGAAUCUACCUAGAGGAGCGGGAUAACUUGGGGAAACUCAAGCUAAUACCACAUAAUCCCUACGGGGGAAAGCAGGGGAUCUUCGGACCUUGCGCCUUAUGAUGAGCCUACAUCGGAUUAGCUUGUUGGUGGGGUAAAGGCCUACCAAGGCGACGAUCCGUAGCCGGUCUGAGAGGAUGAUCAGCCACACUGGGACUGAGACACGGCCCAGACUCCUACGGGAGGCAGCAGUGGGGAAUAUUGGACAAUGGGCGAAAGCCUGAUCCAGCAAUGCCGCGUGUGUGAAGAAGGCCUUAGGGUUGUAAAGCACUUUCAGUGGGGAGGAAGUUGCGUGUGCUAAUAUCACACGUAAUUGACGUUACCCACAGAAGAAGCACCGGCUAACUCUGUGCCAGCCGCCGCGGUAAUAC